rnacentral:misc_RNA from 1 species
GGGAAUUCAAUACCAGAAAAUUGCAAAAGAAAACAAUUCAUCAAGAGUUGAAUACAGAACACACGGUAAUAAUGCACAAAUUAGACCAAAAGAGAAUCAGAACAUCUAGAGUCCACUUGCUUUAAUUCCCUGCAACAGAAUUUACAUUCUGUUUCUGUAGAAAGAAUGAUAUUUUGUUGCUAAACUGGACAACGGUUUCACAAUUGUUUUUCCCUCCAUGGUAAUUAUAAUAGGACAAACAAGAAUAUGAGUACUGUGAUGUCCGCUGCCCUUGAUUUCCAGAAAAAAAAAUAUAUUAAACUCCAGUUAUCCAAUUUAAAUAAUUGUGCAGAGCUAAAUUAAGCAUCAUAGACAAUCUCAGUCAUAAUGAAGCUACAAAAUAUGAAAAACCCUCAUCUUUGCCAUCAAUUAGCAACAAAACAAACACAUUUCAAGCAACCUUAUCCAAUACAAAUAAUCUCUCAAAAAUUCAAAUGGAUAGGCCGAGACAAUCUACAACAGCACCAACUCUCACUUCACGUCCUAUUACCAAUUAAAACCACAAAAAACCCCUUUGAGCAAGGUAAACCAAACAAGUGAUAAAAAUGUUAAACAAAAACUGAAAAUGCUACCUGGAGAAUGUUAGUGUAC